GUCCCUGUCGAUUAGUGGUCAGAUCGUCACGUUGUGGAAACACAAGCCCGUGAAGACGGAGGCUCGAAUCCUCCCUGGGACA
rnacentral:tRNA from 2 species